rnacentral:lncRNA from 1 species
AAAAAAUCCUUCAAUCUUUAUCCAACUACUUAAAAAAAAUCUUCAACCCUUCAAUCUUUAUCCAAUCAUCUUUGAAUCUUCAAUCUUUUAAUCAAGCCCCCCUCUAUGCUUUUUGUUCCAAUUUAGCCCUUUUUUGCAAGAUUUUAAAUUCAGCACACCAACUUCACUCCUCAUAAGAAAAAUUCAAAUUUAAUAGCAUUUUAUUUGAUAAUUAGCCAAAAAU